GAUGAACGCUGGCGGCGUGCCUAAUACAUGCAAGUCGAGCGAACAGACGAGGAGCUUGCUCCUCUGACGUUAGCGGCGGACGGGUGAGUAACACGUGGAUAAACUAUCUAUAAGACUGGGAUAACUUCGGGAAACCGGAGCUAAUACCGGAUAAUAUAUUGAACCGCAUGGUUCAAUAGUGAAAGACGGUUUUGCUGUCACUUAUAGAUGGAUCCGCGCCGCAUUAGCUAGCUGGUAAGGUAACGGCUUACCAAGGCAACGAUGCGUAGCCGACCUGAGAGGGUGAUCGGCCACACUGGAACUGAGACACGGUCCAGACUCCUACGGGAGGCAGCAGUAGGGAAUCUUCCGCAAUGGGCGAAAGCUUGACGGAGCAACGCCGCGUGAGUGAUGAAGGUCUUCGGAUCGUAAAACUCUGUUAUUAGGGAAGAACAAAUGUGUAAGUAACUAUGCACGUCUUGACGGUACCUAAUCAGAAAGCCACGGCUAACUACGUG
rnacentral:rRNA from 1 species